rnacentral:rRNA from 1 species
UGUGUAGGCGGCUUUUUAAGUUUGGUGUGAAAUCUCCCGGCUCAACCGGGAGGGUGCGCCGAAUACUGAGAGGCUAGAGUGCGGGAGAGGAAAGUGGAAUUCCUGGUGUAGCGGUGAAAUGCGUAGAUAUCAGGAGGAACACCGGUGGUGUAGACGGCUUUCUGGACCGUAACUGACGCUGAGACACGAAAGCGUGGGUAGCAAACAGGAUUAGAUACCCUGGUAGUCCACGCCCUAAACGAUGCAUAUUUGGUGUGGGUCAUUCAGUUGAUCCGUGCCGGAGCUAACGCGUUAAAUAUGCCCGCCGUGGGGAGUACAGUCGCAAGGCUGAA